rnacentral:rRNA from 1 species
CGCUGAAUGCGGACCGGGAGGCGCUGUAAUACGUGUGGUGAUAGAGUUGUCCGGAAUUACUGGGUGUAAAGAGCUCGUAGGCGGUGUGUCGCGUUUUCUGUGAAAUUCGUCAACUCAAUGGCAUGCGUGCAGGCGAUACGGGCAUACGUGAGUACUACAGGGGAGACUGGAAUUCCUGGUGUAGCGGUGAAAUGCGCAGAUAUCAGGAGGAACACCGGUGGCGAAGGCGGGUCUCUGGGUAGUAACUGACGCUGAGGAGCGAAAGCGUGGGGAGCGAACAGGAUUAGAUACCCUGGUAGUC